rnacentral:tRNA from 1 species
AGUUUUUAUAGUUUAUCUAAAAUAUUGAUCUUGUAAAUCAAAGAAUGACCCUCAUAAAAACUUC